ACUCUGUCCUGCUUUACAUAAAUGUUCCUCUGUAUCCUUACUCAGCCUUAAACCACAGUAGAUUAUUAGAUUCACCGCUGUUGCCGUUUUGUAGCUGCCUCGCGGUGUUGUUCCAUCGUCACUGUUGCUGGAAGAAGCAGUCGAAGUGCCUGCCAUGAAUUAAAAGGAAAGGGAGUUGUUACAAUAGGUUUAUGCGAACUCGGCUAAUCGAGAGUUGUUGUGGUUAUUGCGUAAGCGGUUUGGAGCUGAGGCUGCAGUUGCCACUGAUUGCAGGCCGAAAAGAAAGGGUCUCUUGAUGCGUUUGGUUUUUGAGUUUCGAUUAUUCGAGCUUUACCUUUUCAGGAACCAGAUGAGGAAGCAUUAUGGAGAGUUAUACUGUGUUUGGUUUAUAUAUGUUAUUGUAUUAAUUAGAUUAUUUUCUUUCCUCAUCUUUGUUAUUACAAGUUUGUAAGAGGGAUAGGAGUUGUAUGUUUUAUAUGUAUAUUAUAUUAUGAGUUAUUA